rnacentral:misc_RNA from 1 species
AAGUCGUAACAAGGUCUCCGUUGGUGAACCAGCGGAGGGAUCAUUACCGAGUUUACAACUCCCAAACCCCUGUGAACAUACCUAUACGUUGCCUCGGCGGAUCAGCCCGCGCCCCGUAAAAAGGGACGGCCCGCCCGAGGACCCCUAAACUCUGUUUUUAGUGGAACUUCUGAGUAAAACAAACAAAUAAAUCAAAACUUUCAACAACGGAUCUCUUGGUUCUG